CCCUUAGAUGUUCUGGGCCGCACGCGCGCUACACUGAUUCAUGCAACAAGUUUUGUCCUUGGCUGAUAGGCCUGGGUAAUCUUUGAACGUGAAUCGUGAUGGGGAUAGAUGAUUGCAAUUAUUCAUCUUCAACGAGGAAUUCUUAGUAAACGCAAGUCAUCAGCUUGCAUUGAUUACGUCCCUGCCCUUUGUACACACCGCCCGUCGCACCUACCGAUUGAAUGGUCCGGUGAAAUCUUCGGAUCUGAGAGAUGUCUGAUUAAUUUCGGACGCCUUUUGGAAAAGUUGUUUAAACCUUACCAUUUAGAGGAAGGUGAAGUCGUAACA
rnacentral:rRNA from 1 species